GGCCGACUAGCUCAGUUGGUUAGAGCGUGGUGCUAAUAUUGCAACGCCAAGGUCGUCGGUUCGAUCCCGGCGUUGGCCA
rnacentral:tRNA from 1 species